UUGAAGAAUGGACCAAGAGCGCGCGCGCGGGGGGGGAGGGGGGGGAAUUUCCUCUGGAAAAGUGCUUUCAGGUUGCGUCCAUGGGCUAGAAAGAAAUAGCCUCUGCCUGAGGUCAUUGUCUGCGGGAGGAAAGAAGCAAGAAACACAGACCCUACAUGCUGAUAAGACCGCAGAAAGUGCCGAUGAAACCGUUGGGCAUCUUGAAAGUGAGUGUGCCCGUGUGAUAUUGCACAAAUGCAAAGACUGAAUGUAACUGUGGACUUUAUCUCCUCGGGCUCACUUGCAGUUGCUGCUGAAUUCUGUUGACUUAAAUGUGAUUAAGGGUUGCUUGUGCCUGGGUGGAGCUGAGCCUGCAGGAACUGAAAAAUACCCCGGGUGUAACAGGAAAAAAAAAAGUAACAUGCACACCCAAAGGGAAGUCAUUGCUCAAAAGUUCUCCCAUAGCGCUCUUGGCUAAGGAUAUUUUUAUUAUUUUAUUAUUUUAUUUAUUUAAGAAACAGAGUGCCCAAUACUGAUUCACUCUCCAAAUGCCAAUGCAUGGCCAGAACUGGGCCUGUCCAAAACCAGGAAACAGGAACUGCAAUCCGGGGCUCGCAUGUGGAUGUCCCGAACCCAACCACAUGAGCCAUCACCACUGCCUCUCAGGGUCUGCAUUAGCUGGAGGCAGGAACUGGAACUCGGAAUCCAUCCCAGACACUCAGGUGGUUUAUGAGAUACCAGCACGUGGACCCUGAAGAGGCGGUGAGGAUUCACGUGGACGUUCAGACCAAGAAAUCUGUGGCCAUUCACUGGGGAACCUUUGCCUUAGCCAAUGAGAGAGAGCGGGAGAGAGAAAAAGAGGACAGAGAUCUUCCAUCUACUCGUUCACUCCUCAAAUGACCCUAGUGCUUGGGUCCCUGCCACCCACAUGGGAGACCCGGAUGGAGUUCCUGGCUCCUGGAUUCAGCCUGACCCUGCCUCAGCCAUUGAACCGGAAGACAGAAGAGCUCUUUCUCCCUCUGACUCUCACUGUCUUUGUGUCACUCUGUCUCUCAAAUAAAUAAUUCUCAAAAAAAAAAAAAAAAAAGGAAAGAAACGAAAUACCAUUCAGCAAUUAAUGAUAGCCUAUGGAGAGAAAUGAAAAAGAAAAGGUAACCAUAAUUUCCAGUCAAAAUCUUCACAAUUUCCAUUGAAAUGCAAAGUCCUAUGGACUGACCCACCAAAAUUCAUGUGUCAAAGUUCUAACCUCCCCCAUGACAUUCUUUGGUGAGAUCAU